rnacentral:rRNA from 1 species
UACGAACUGUGCAAACGUUAUUCGGAAUCACUGGGCUUAAAGGGUGCGUAGGCGGCUUAUCAAGUAGGGUGUGAAAGCCCCCGGCUUAACCGGGGAAUUGCGCCCUAAACUGACGAGCUGGAGUGGGACAGGGGUGUGUGGAACUUCCGGUGGAGCGGUGAAAUGUGUUGAUAUCGGAAGGAACGCCGGUGGCGAAAGCGACACACUGGGUCUCAACUGACGCUGAGGCACGAAAGCUAGGGGAGCGAACAGG